UGGGGAAUAUUGCACAAUGGGGGAAACCCUGAUGCAGCAACGCCGCGUGCGGGAUGACGGCCUUCGGGUUGUAAACCGCUUUCAGCCAUGACGAAGCUUUUGUGACGGUAGUUGCAGAAGAAGCACCGGCUAACUACGUGCCAGCAGCCGCGGUGAUACGUAGGGUGCGAGCGUUUUCCGGAAUUAUUGGGCGUAAAGAGCUUGUAGGCGGUUUGUCGCGUCGAAAGUGUAAACUCAGUGCUUAACGCUGAGCCUGCUGUCGAUACGGGCUGACUAGAGGAAGGUAGGGGAGAAUGGAAUUCCCGGUGGGGCGGUGGAAUGCGAAGAUAUCGGGAGGAACCACAGUGGAGAAGGCGGUUCUCUGGACCUUUCCUGACGCUGAGAAGCGAAAGCGUGGGUAGCAAACAGG
rnacentral:rRNA from 1 species